rnacentral:rRNA from 1 species
UACUCGAGUGGCGAACGGGUGAGUAACACGUGGGUGAUCUGCCCUGCACUUCGGGAUAAGCCUGGGAAACUGGGUCUAAUACCGGAUAGGAGCCAUUUUUAGUGUGAUGGUUGGAAAGUUUUUUCGGUGUAGGAUGAGCUCGCGGCCUAUCAGCUUGUUGGUGGGGUAGUGGCUUACCAAGGCUUUGACGGGUAGCCGGCCUGAGAGGGUGACCGGCCACAUUGGGACUGAGAUACGGCCCAG